rnacentral:misc_RNA from 1 species
AACGCAUAUUGCGCUCUCUGGUAUUCCGGAGAGCAUGCUUGUUUGAGUAUCAGUAAACACCUCAGCUCUCUUUUUCUUCUUGAAAUAAAGAGCCGGACUUGAGUGAUCCCAACGCUUUCUCGAAAGUGGCGGGUUACUUGAAAUGCAGGUGCAGCUGAACUUUUCUCUGAGCUAUAAGCAUAUCUAUUAGUCUGCCUCAAAAACAGAUUAUUACCUUUGCUGCAGCUAACAUAAAGGAGACUAGUUCUUGUGCUGACUGAUGCAGGAUUCACAGAGACCGCUUCGGCUGUCUUUGUAAACUCGAUCUCAAAUCAAGUAAGACUACCCGCUGAACUUAA